UACGAAGGGUGCAAACGUUGCUCGGAAUCAUUGGGCGUAAAGCGCACGUAGGCGGCUUCGCAAGUCGGAUGUGAAGUCCCACGGCUCAACCAUGGACGUGCAUCCGAAACUGCGGGGCUUGAGUACUGAAGAGGAUCGCGGAAUUCCCGGUGUAGAGGUGAAAUUCGUAGAUAUCGGGAGGAACACCAGUGGCGAAGGCGGCGAUCUGGGCAGAUACUGACGCUGAGGUGCGAAAGCGUCGGGAGCAAACAGG
rnacentral:rRNA from 1 species